GAUUGAAUUUUCAUGUAUGGUUGAGUUGUUGUUCUUUUUAAAUAAAGGACAGAGAAAAGUGCGACAAGCAGUGUCCAUAUAAUUCUACAUCGCUGCUGCUAACAUGUGACUUCACUUCAGAAACUCCAGAAAAGUGCCGUACAGAUGUGUGUCCACCAUUCGAUAAGGCGGCAAAGAGCAACGGAGUGAUCCUCGGAAACAUGCACAUGGAAGGUGAUAGACGCAGGCUGGAAUGUAACCAGGGCUACCUACCGCUCGAUCUAAACAAUGUGACCAGUCAAUGUCAGAACGGGCGCUGGACGAACGUGACCACUUGUGUUCAAGUAUGCCCUCAGUUUGAGAACAAAAACCAUGGCACGGUGGUCGGAGACUCUAUUUAUGAAAAUGCCACUAGAAAUUUGACUUGCAACGAAGGCUACAGUCCCCUUGACCCAGCAAAAACAGUCAGCAAAUGUACAAAGGGAAACUGGACGGAAAUAACGAAGUGU